rnacentral:tRNA from 1 species
GGGGAUGUAGCUCAGUGGUAGAGUGUUUGCCUAGCAUGUAGAAGGCCCUGGGUUCAAUACUCAGUACCA